UACGUAGGUGGCAAGCGCUGUCCGGAUUUACUGGGCGUAAAGAGCGCGCAGGCGGUCGAUCAAGUCGCGUGUGAAAGCCCCCGGCUCAACUGGGGAGGGUCACGCGAUACUGAUCGACUCGAAGGCAGGAGAGGGUAGUGGAAUUCCUGGUGUAGCGGUGAAGUGCGCAGAUAUCAGGAGGAACACCAAUUGCGAAGGCAGCUCGCUGGGACGUUACUGACGCUGAGACGCGAAAGCGUGGGGAGCAAACAGG
rnacentral:rRNA from 1 species